rnacentral:ncRNA from 2 species
UGUACCUCUGCGUGUGUCAGCCGUUAUCAGCUCUAACAGCACCCCAUGCAGAGGGC